rnacentral:tRNA from 1 species
UGGCUAGGUAACAUAAUGGAAAUGUAUCGGACUGCAAAUCCUGGAAUGACGGUUCGACCCCGUCCUUGGCCUCGAGGAGUGGUGAGCAGCACGGAACUCG